rnacentral:misc_RNA from 1 species
GAUGAAGAACGCAGCGAAAUGCGAUAAGUAAUGUGAAUUGCAGAAUUCAGUGAAUCAUCGAAUCUUUGAACGCACCUUGCGCCCUUUGGCUAUUCCGAAGGGCAUGCCUGUUUGAGUAUCAUGAACACCUCAACUCUUCAUGGUUUUCCAUGAUGAGCUUGGACUUUGGGGGUCUUGCUGGCCUACGGUCGGCUCCUCUAAAAUAAAUCAGCUUGCCAGUGUUUGGUGGGUAUCGCAGGUGUGAUAACUAUCUACGCUUGUGGUUUUCCACCAAGUAACCUUCAGCAGUGGAGGUUCACUGGAGCUCACAGAUGUGUCUCUCCUCAGUGAGGGACAGCUCUUUGAAUGUUUGAUCUCAAAUCAGGUAGGACUACCCGCUGAACUUAAGCAUAUCAAUAAGCGGAGGA